GAAAUGCGAUACGUAAUGCGAAUUGCAGAAUCCAGUGAGUCAUCGAACCUUUGAACGCACCUUGCGCUUCCGGGUAACCGGGAGCAUGUCUGCUGGAGUGCCUGUUCUCAACCACAACUCUUCUUUCUUAGAAGAGUGUGACGGCGCUGUAUUUCGAACCGAAGUACAGUGCUAGUUUAGACGAAAGGCACACAGCUGUUUUGAAUAUCAAUUUGGAUAGCUCAAUUCAAAUUUGCAUCUCAGUUGUGAGUGUCGUGCAAGAUUCAUUUCUUUACAAACUUCACUCAAACAAAAAACAACUUUGGUGUUUUAAAUUUACUUGAAUUGAACGAACCCAAAUUCAAAACUUCUCGAUUUAUUCCGAAUCGGGCCUCCAGUCAGACAAGAAGACCCGCUGAAU
rnacentral:misc_RNA from 1 species